ensembl:lncRNA TEX41 testis expressed 41
GGCCUCCAUCUUGAAAACGGAAAAUAAAAACAGCAGACCUAUGAAGGUCGAAGGGGAAGAAAAGCUGUAUCGAUUGUUGAGAUCUGGCGACUUGUUUAAAUUUCAUCAGCCUCACUUCUAUGAACUCUCAGAGCUGAUUACCAACUCCUACCACUGUUAACCCUCAUCCAGGAACAAGCUUAUGUCUUUAACAUUCUGAGUGGGCUUCAGCAUCCUUGCAUAUGUUCAAUUCUUAAAAACCUGUUGAAAUAAAAGAUCAGGAGACAUAGGAAGGAUGCCAGAAGAGAGCGUGGCCUCACGUGUACCAGCUCUCUGCUCUCCUUUGCCUUGGGACGUUCCAUCCCUGGAAGUUUCCCUGCCCACAUCUUUGUAGAGAGUCCAUUCUCCAAGCUUCAGUGUGUCAUCUGUGAGGACCGUGACCCACCUGGUACAUCGCCUCAGGGCAUUCAUUUCAGGCUCCUUCUAAAUGGCCAAGGGUCUUCCUCUGCCACCCAGGCUGGAGUGUGCAGCAGCAUGACCGUGGCUUACUGCAGCUUCAACCUCUCAGGAUUAGUCUUCUGCCAGCCUAACAAGCAUAGCAAGAAGAUAUAGCCCCACAACCACUUUAUGCACAAAGUUAGAAGCAUAAAAUCUCAUGGAAGGAGACCGAUUAUCUACAGAAGAGGUUGUCUUGCCAUUUCUCUCAUGUUAGAGGUAAACCUCAGGUUCUCCUCCUGCCUUUUGCUAAGUAUAUGUCUUGAUGACAAGCCUUCUGCUGAUGAGCUGUGUUUCUGGACCGAUCAUGGUAGAAGUCAAUUAACGUGUCCCUCACUUGGGGUUUCUCAAGGCUGCACUGAUGAGGAAACUGAAACAGAAAAUCCAGAGUAAAUUCCACCAGGCCACACAGCAAGGUCUGAUAGAGCCAGGAGAGACUUUAUGAAAUCCAGACUCUCACACUAAUGCUCUAUCAGCUAGACCUCCAUGUGAGUCUCCCCAAUGUAGGUAGGAAGUGCUUUCCCUAAAAUGCUCAUAAAGCAAAUCAGAGCAAUGCUGCAUUCCAUGUGAUUUCUAAUUUGAAAUGCAAACAAUUGCCAAUUUGUUUGACUUGUAUUUAUAAUUAUUUCCUUGUGAAUUACUCAUCACUAAAUGCUUUAUAAAUAUUUUCUCUUUUUUUCCUCAAUGUCUAUGGAAUGAUCACAGCAUAGAAAAUGUUGGCUUUCAAGGAUUUAUUAAUAUCUCCUUUUGAAAUAACAUGUAUUUGUAAGACAGAAUAAAAUCACUUUAAAGAAACAAA